UGGGGAAUAUUGCACAAUGGGCGCAAGCCUGAUGCAGCAACGCCGCGUGAGGGAUGACGGCCUUCGGGUUGUAAACCUCUUUUAGUAGGGAAGAAGGGCUUCGGCUUGACGGUACCUGCAGAAAAAGGACCGGCUAACUACGUGCCAGCAGCCGCGGUAAUACGUAGGGUCCGAGCGUUGUCCGGAAUUAUUGGGCGUAAAGAGCUCGUAGGCGGUUUGUCGCGUCUGCUGUGAAAUCCCGAGGCUCAACCUCGGGCCUGCAGUGGGUACGGGCAGACUUGAGUGCGGUAGGGGAGAAUGGAAUUCCUGGUGUAGCGGUGGAAUGCGCAGAUAUCAGGAGGAACACCGAUGGCGAAGGCAGUUCUCUGGGCCGUAACUGACGCUGAGGAGCGAAAGCGUGGGGAGCGAACAGG
rnacentral:rRNA from 1 species